UUCCUUUUCUUAGUUGCACUUUAAAGGACUAUCUACACACAUCAGUGCCGUAUCAAGUGCUAUCCGUGCGGCUCAGUGGUAACAACUCAUCCGUCUGUAGUCCGUACCGAUUCUGAUAUUUCUACGUACGUGAAAUAUCAGAACUUUUUAGAGAUGGCUUUUUUUACUGAUAAAGAAUUGGCUAUUAUUGCCAUAGAUCUGGAAGAGCAUAAAGCUUGGAUGAAACGAGAAACUGAAGGAGAAUUUAUAACUCUAUAUAAGGAAUUGGUGGACGAUGAAACAAUUUUUUUUGAAUAUUUCAGAAUGUCUCAAAAUUGUUUUAAUAUGUUGCUUCAUAAAAUACAGGGGUCGGCAUAAGUCAGGUAACUUUAAAAAUAGUGCGAACGCGGCAACGGUGUUUGCCUUACCGAAUUUGUGCGAUUUUUCUGUAUCGUUUUUUUUUUCUUUUUGUUUGGUAUGCAAAUUGGUUAACUGACUUAUGCCGACCUCUGAAGAAAGGCAUUUAAUAAAACAACACACUCAUUGGAGAAAAACUAAAUUAUUACACCAAGGGAACGAUUAGCAGUUUGUUUGAGGUUCCUAGCUACUGGAGAUUCUUUAAAAACUAUAUCAUUUAGUGACCGAAUGAGGCACUGUACGUUGCAAAACAUUGUAAUGGAAACUUGCAAAAUCAUAUUUGAAAAUCUUAUAAAUGAAAUGUUGCCGCAACCUUCAGAAGACAUGUGGAAAACUGUUGCUGACAGCUUUAACACAAUUUGGAAUUUCCUUAACUGUAAAAAUAGCGGCUCGCAAUUUUUUAAUUACAAAAAAACGUUUUCUAUUGUAUUGUUGGCACUUGUUGAUGCACAUUACAAUUUCGUAGCUGUAGAUGUUGGUGCGUAUGGCAAAAAUAGCGAUGGUGGCAUUUUUGCAAAAUCCAAUCUGGGAAAAGCAUUUCAAAAUAAUAGUUUAUCUGUCCCACAGCAUGCACCAUUACCAGGUACAGAUAUGGAGGCUCCUUAUGUAAUUGUAGGUGAUGGGGCAUUCCCUCUAAAUCACUCAUCUCAUGCGCCCAUAUCCAGGAAGAGAACUGAAUAAGCGCGUGUUUAACUACCGUUUAAGUAGAGCUCGGAGGACCGUUGAAAACGCUUUUGGGAUUUUAAUACAAACAUUUAGAAUCUUCACUAGAAGAAUCCAGGCUAAACCAGAAAAUGUAGAUUACAUAAUAUUGGCAGCUUGUAUUCUACAUAAUUUCAUAAAAAAAUAUGAUACAAAUACUUAUAAUUAUCCAAAUGCAAACUUCAAUAAUGUUCCGCAACAACAAGUACACCAAAAUCUACCUAUGCAGAGGGGAAAUGCCACUGCUGACGCAUUUCAAGCAAGAGAAUUGUUUACAGAAUACUUUUUUUCAGAAAUUGGACGCGUGCCAUGGCAAAACGAAAAAAUUUAAGUUCAUCAUUGUUUUUUGUGUCAUAUCCGACAUAACCUCUAAUCCAAAACCUACAUACUAAUUUUUAAUAUACGAAGUAUCCACUUA